rnacentral:pre_miRNA from 14 species
CUCGAGUUGUCUUUCAUGUCUAGACCAUUUGUGAGAAGGGAUUUUUUGUUUGCACCGUUCACCCCACUCUCAAUCUGUAGUGAGUAUUAAGGAAAAUAGCUUGUUCAACAUAUCACACUACUCUUUUAGAAACAAAACUAUAUUUUAGAUGCUUUUCCAGCUUGAUAUACGUUGUUUUGUUAUGUAUACCUGUAUUCUCCCGGCUACCAAAACGUUAAGAAAUAAGGUGAACAUCUCCCCAAAACCUGCAUCCAAUUAGAAAGGUCUAGGUCACAGCCAUUACUUGCUAUCUCUCGAUUAAGCUAUUUUAUUUCUAUCAUCAUCAUCAGAUCAUUCAGGAGUUAAGUAUAAAAUAAAAUACAUUAAGUCCAUUCAUGACAUUUCUGGAUGCUGCAUACAUAAUAUUUUGUUUUUGGACUAUGCCACACUUCGGACAGACAUUUUUCCUACGAGAUGUCAAACCUCUGUCUGGAGUGUUAGAGGUAUUUCAUGAUAGCUAAGAACUUGAAUCUUGCACUACUUAGCUACACUAGUUUACUUCAUAGUAAAUAACUUGGGGAGUGGGGAAGGUGCUGGGUUAUUAGUCCCUUCUCAUCGAUGGUCUAGAUGUGCGAGGUGACUCUCAUUGAGG